AGCUCGUGUCGUGAGAUGUUGGGUUAAGUCCCGCAACGAGCGCAACCCUCGCCCUUAGUUGCCAGCAUUUGGUUGGGCACUCUAAGGGGACUGCCGGUGAUAAGCCGAGAGGAAGGUGGGGAUGACGUCAAGUCCUCAUGGCCCUUACGGGCUGGGCUACACACGUGCUACAAUGGUGGUGACAGUGGGCAGCGAGACCGCGAGGUCGAGCUAAUCUCCAAAAGCCAUCUNAGUUCGGAUGUCCGCACUACGUGCNACUGGACGCCCAGUGAAUGCGAACAUCGCUAGUCCCCUUCAGUAUUACCGCNUGCUGCUGGCACGAAGAUUAGCCGGGCCUUNUAUACUCCGGUUACCGUCAUUAUCUUCACCGGUGAAAGAGCUUUACAACCCUAGGGCCUUCAUCACUCACGCGGCAUGGCUGGAUCAGGCUUGCGCCCAUUGUCCAAUAUUCCCCACUGCUGCCUCCCGUAGGAGUUUGGGCCGUGUCUCAGUCCCAAUGUGGCUGAUCAUCCUCUCAGACCAGCUAUGGAUCGUCGCCUUGGUAGGCCUUUACCCCACCAACUAGCUAAUCCAACGCGGGCUCAUCCUUUCCCGAUAAAUCUUUCCCCCGAAGGGCUCUUACGGUAUUAGCAAAAGUUUCCNUACGUU
rnacentral:rRNA from 1 species